CCUACGGGGCGCACCAGUGGGGAAUAUUGGACAAUGGGCGAAAGCCUGAUCCAGCGAUGCCGCGUGUGUGAAGAAGGUCUUCGGAUUGUAAAGCACUUUCGACGGGGUCGAUGAUGACGGUACCCGUAGAAGAAGCCCCGGCUAACUUCGUGCCAGCAGCCGCGGUAAUACGAAGGGGCUAGCGUUGCUCGGAAUGACUGGGCGUAAAGGGCGCGUAGGCGGUUUAUGCAGUCAGAUGUGAAAUCCCCGGGCUUAACCUGGGAACUGCAUUUGAGACGCAUAGACUAGAGGUCGAGAGAGGGUUGUGGAAUUCCCAGUGUAGAGGUGAAAUUCGUAGAUAUUGGGAAGAACACCGGUGGCGAAGGCGGCAACCUGGCUCGAUACUGACGCUGAGGCGCGAAAGCGCGGGGAGCAAACAGGAUUAGAUACCCUUGUAGUC
rnacentral:rRNA from 1 species